rnacentral:tRNA from 2 species
UCUUAGCUCAGUUGGUAGAGCAGCGGACUCUUAAUCCGUUGGUCGUAGGUUCGAAUCCUACAGGGC